ACAAGUUACAAUCCCGAUAGGAUUCAGUGGAAUCGUUCCGCUGGAGAUGCCUUGUAACCGAUAAAUAGUAGGGGGACUACAUAAUG
rnacentral:sRNA from 2 species